rnacentral:rRNA from 1 species
UACGUAGGGGGCAAGCGUUGUCCGGAAUUACUGGGCGUAAAGAGCUCGUAGGCGGCUCGGUAAGUCAACUGUGAAGCUCCGGGCUCAACUCGGAGAGGCCAGUUGAUACUGCUGUGGCUAGAGUCCGGUAGGGGAGCGUGGAAUUCCUGGUGUAGCGGUGAAAUGCGUAGAUAUGCGGAGGAACACCGAUGGCGAAGGCAAUCCCCUGGACCUCGUACUGACGCUCAUGCACGAAAGCGUGGGGAGCAAACAGG